GGAGGAAAAGAAACUAACAAGGAUUCCCCUAGUAACUGCGAGUGAAGCGGGAAAAGCUCAAAUUUAAAAUCUGGUAGCUUUGCUGCCCGAGUUGUAAUCUAGAGAAGCAUUGUCAGUGCUGCGCGUGUAUAAGUGUCCUGGAAUGGACCAUCAUAGAGGGUGAAAAUCCCGUCCUUGACACGCUGCUAGUGCGUUCAGAUGUGCUCUCAAAGAGUCGGGUUGUUUGGGAAUGCAACUCUAAAUGGGUGGUAAGUUCCAUCUAAAGCUAAAUAUUGGCGAGAGACCGAUAGCGAACAAGUACCGUGAGGGAAAGAUGAAAAGAACUUUGGAAAGAGGGUUAAACAGUACGUGAAAUUGCUGAAAGGGAAACGCUUGAAGUCAGUCGCGUCAGCUGGGAAUCAACCUUGCUUCUUGCUUGGUUUACUUCCCAGUUGACGGGUCAGCAUCAGUUUCGAUCAGUGGACAAAGGUCAAGGGAAUGUGGCACCUCCGGGUGUGUUAUAGCCCUCGGUCAUAUACAUUGGUUGGGACUGA
rnacentral:rRNA from 1 species